GACAGAGGAUGCAAGCGUUAUCCGGAAUGAUUGGGCGUAAAGCGUCUGUAGGUGGCUUUUUAAGUCCGCCGUCAAAUCCCAGGGCUCAACCCUGGACAGGCGGUGGAAACUACCAAGCUGGAGUACGGUAGGGGCAGAGGGAAUUUCCGGUGGAGCGGUGAAAUGCGUAGAGAGUACGGAAAGAACCACCAACGGCGAAAGCACUCUGCUGGGCCGACACUGACACUGAGAGACGAAAGCUAGGGGAGCGAAUGGG
rnacentral:rRNA from 1 species